AGCUGCAAAUAUCAUGGCGAAAUUCACUGUACAAGCAUCCAAACAUUUGGUGACAUAUUUGAGUAAACCACAGUAUAUUACAGAAAAUAGACUGCAUGCAUCCUCUCAGGCUCAACAUAGAAAGACACUUAAGCUCAACAUAGUAAGACAAGCAUAACAAGCAUUCACGGGAAGCAUAAACACAUAACAGGCAGCAACAGAGAUCCGAAUAUAUGUUGACACAGGAUAACAAUCCUGGCCUUACUGACCGAUGCAGGAUGUGUCUGCUGUCCAUGUUAACACCAGUAAUCUCACCCCAUGGCAUACUUUUGAGUCCAGGAACGGGCAGUAGCCUCAUACUUGGCUCUGUCAGUUUUGUACAUGUGAG
rnacentral:misc_RNA from 1 species